UACCAGCACCCCGAGUGGUCGGGACGUUUAUUGGGCCUAAAGCAUCCGUAGCCGGUUCUACAAGUCUUCCGUUAAAUCCACCUGCUUAACAGAUGGGCUGCGGAAGAUACUAUGGAGCUAGGAGGCGGGAGAGGCAAGCGGUACUCGAUGGGUAGGGGUAAAAUCCGUUGAUCCAUUGAAGACCACCAGUGGCGAAGGCGGCUUGCCAGAACGCGCUCGACGGUGAGGGAUGAAAGUUGGGGGAGCAAACCGG
rnacentral:rRNA from 1 species